UACGGAGGGGGCUAGCGUUGUUCGGAAUGACUGGGCGUCAAGGGCGCGUAGGCGGUUUAUUUCGUGAGGCGUGAAAGCCCUGGGCUUAACCCAGGAGGUGCGUUUCAUACUGGUAAGCUAGAGUGCGAGAGAGGAAAGUGGAAUUCCUAGUGUAGAGGUGAAAUUCGUAGAUAUUAGGAAGAACACCAGAGGCGAAGGCGGCUUUCUGGCUCGCAACUGACGCUGAGGCGCGAAAGCGUGGGGAGCAAACAGG
rnacentral:rRNA from 1 species